ensembl:lncRNA
CGUACUCAAGAAUAUGCAGCGCACAUUUCCAGGAGGAGGAUUACCACUCAGGGGAUGCCAAGAUGGUCUCAUUUGGUUUAAAGAGUAAGAGGACGGCGAAGUUAAUUCCUACCACCGUGCCGUCUGUGCAUGCAAACCACUCUGCCUGCCCUGUCCCGAGGUCGAGAGACACCGUCUGCCGCAAGCGAGAGACUGCCACAAUGUUGACAGACGCCUCACAGCAGGAGACCGUGGACAGUGUAGACACUGUGGAGAGUGUCGAUACUGGGGAUCAGCCCUUGCCCUCCUCCACUUCUGACACUGGGACACAAUGUUAUUUGAAGCCCCCCCCGAUGGUCUCACGCUGUGCAGGUUAACCUGAAGC